GCGGAUGUAACUCAGUUGGUAGAGUGUCAGCUUCCCAAGCUGAAUGUCGCGGGUUCGAACCCCGUCAUCCGCU
rnacentral:tRNA from 1 species